GCCCCGGUAGCUCAGUUGGAUAGAGCAGUGGACUUCUAAGCCAAUGGUCGCAGGUUCGAGUCCUGCCCGGGGCACCA
rnacentral:tRNA from 1 species